UACGAAGGUCCCAAGCGUUAUCCGGAUUUAUUGGGUUUAAAGGGUGCGUAGGUGGAUUAAUAAGUCAGUGGUGAAAGCCCGGAGCUCAACUCUGGAACUGCCAUUGAUACUGUUAGUCUUGAGUACAGUUGAGGUGGGCGGAAUGUGUCAUGUAGCGGUGAAAUGCUUAGAUAUGACACAGAACACCGAUUGCGAAGGCAGCUCACUAAGCUGUAACUGACACUGAGGCACGAAAGUGUGGGUAGCAAACAGG
rnacentral:rRNA from 1 species